UUGCCAGAAAUUAUGUUUUCACUAAUCAAGCCAAGUUGACAAAAAAAUAUAAAAUAAAAAUCACACAGAACCAACCAUAAGGACAAAAUACAAAUGCAGAAACAAGAUGUUGGAUUAAGUGUGCCAUUUUCCAAUUCCCAUAAACGUUUAUACCAUUUGAGAGACGCUUAAUUUUUCAAAAUAGCCUGGAGGUUGCACCUGCA